rnacentral:rRNA from 1 species
CCUACGGGAGGCAGCAGUGAGGAAUAUUGGUCAAUGGACGAGAGUCUGAACCAGCCAAGUAGCGUGAAGGAUGACUGCCCUAUGGGUUGUAACCUUCUUUUAUAAAGGAAUAAAACGAGGCACGUGUGCCUUUUUGCAUGUCCUUUAUGAAUAAGGAUCGGCUAACUCCGUGCCAGCAGCCGCGGUAAUACGGAGGAUCCGAGCGUUAUCCGGAUUUAUUGGGUUUAAAGGGAGCGUAGAUGGGUUGUUAAGUCAGUUGUGAAAGUUUGCGGCUCAACCGUAAAAUUGCAAUUGAUACUGGCAGUCUUGAGUACAGUUGAGGUAGGCGGAAUUCGUGGUGUAGCGGUGAAAUGCUUAGAUAUCACGAAGAACCCCGAUUGCGAAGGCAGCUUACUAAACUGUGACUGACAUUGAUGCUCGAAAGUGUGGGUAUCAAACAGGAUUAGAUACCCUGGUAGUC